rnacentral:rRNA from 1 species
UACGGAGGUGGCAAGCGUUGUUCGGAUUUAUUGGGUGUAAAGGGUAUGUAGGUGUCCUGAUAAGUCAAAUGUGAAAGCCCUUGGCUCAACCAAGGAACUGCAUUCGAUACUGUCAGGAUUGAGUAUGGGAGAGGAGAGUGGAAUUCCCGGUGUAAGGGUGAAAUCUGUAGAUAUCGGGAGGAACACCAGUGGCGAAGGCGGCUCUCUGGCCCAAUACUGACACUGAAAUACGAAAGCUACGGGAGCAAACAGGAUUAGAUACCCCCGUA